UUCAGACGUGAAUACUGCGCGUACUGC
rnacentral:sRNA from 1 species